rnacentral:lncRNA from 1 species
UUUUUUUUAAAUACCCAUUGUUUUCUAAUAUCUAGUAAACUGGGUACAAAAGAUGGAGGUAAGAAGCCCAUGUUCUCUCAGAUCGAGUAUAUCCCUGUCCUGAAUGGUGUAUCCAAGGUUCCCCAUGUCAUGUUUAAGUACAAAUCACUUGUUUAUUGUGACAUGGACCACUGAUAUCUGAAAUAUAUGAAAAGACCCAUCAGGGCCCAGGAAAAAUAUGCCCUCCUAAAAGUAAAAGAAUGUCCCUGCUAUUUAAAAGAAGAUUGGCACUAAUAAGAGGCUAAGGAGAAGCAAAAUAAGCAAAGUAAAUGUCUAAAAAAUAAGAGCAGAGCAUCUUCGACAUUACCUAGAUACAUUCAGAAAAUCAAAAGCACCUGAACUAACAACUAAAACAGUGCCCUGAAAUAGAAUCCCAGACAUGAAGCUAUAAGCAUAAAUAACAACCAAGGCAAAAUCAAAAGAAAUAAAAAUAUGUGCAUCACAAAAUACUAUUAGGAGAUCAGGUCUACUGUACAAAUAUGAGGCAGCUGCCAUACGAUCUCUAGAUGCGAAAGAGUUGCAUUCAUAACUAUAUAUACAUUAGCAAGAUAAAUCACUCUACCGAUUUGUAAGCGGCAAACCAGCUCAAAUGUAGUCAUCAUCAGUAACUCUUGCUUCGAUAAUAACAGCCAACCACCAUGUAUAUCCAUCCAUGAUACAUAAAGGGGGAGAAGUAAAUUACGUUGAAUGAGAAUUAAUUAAUUGCCACGCGGCUGCAGCUGCCAAACAUGCCACGGUUAAAUACAUGGAUUUUGUCAGGGAUCUGGGUACAUGAAAAUAGACAAAGUAACACAUCAAUUAGAAGGAGCCAAAACAAGCAGAGGUGGUCAGUGAGAAUACCCGCAGGCGCCCCAACAGGCUAUAGACACCAUGUCACCAUGUUGUGCAUAAAUAGUUAGACACCGUGACAUGGUGCCUAACAUGAGCCGAGACAGGCCGGCGAAACUGUAACAUGACGUGCAACAUGUAAGAAAGUAAGCAUCCAGGAAAGAUAGGCUGGCAGGCCAAGCAACUAAAUUAGAACACAUACACCCAUUUCUUGCACAGAGCAGUGCUUGUAAUCCCUUUAUUUUUUUUCAUUAACAAAGUGAGAAUGUAGGGUUAUUUUUUCAUUAACAAAUGUGAGAAUAGAAGGCGGAGAAGGAUGAGGAAGCAACGAUAGAAAGCUCUAUUACUUCACACGGCCAUUCGAACUAAUCACCAGGAGACAAAAGAACAUAUUAGGCUCUAGGAAUUGACACAACCUCUAUUGCUUUGUUCAUACACACUCAAUUCUGAAAAAGGAAAACAUAAGCUUCAGGAGCAAACAAAUAGAAUAUGAAAACUGUAUAUAUAUACAGAGAAAACAAAAAUAGGAAUGCAAACUGUCAUAUUACUCCCAGGUGUGAAGAGCCAAAGCUAUUUUCAAGCAGUAUUAUAAGCUAGCUCUAGAUUUUACUCCAUAGUAAACAUAACAGUUUUGUAAGGUAGCUCUAGAUUUUAUACGAUUCAAAAAAGCAGCAGAUGGACACAUGAUUGUACAACUGAUGCAUAGUCACCCUCUUCUUGGAAUAGCCCACGGCUUAUACAUAUAGAUGAAAAUUUCAUCCAAACAUGCCAGUAUUUUUAGGCCAUUAAAUGGAGAGUGAUGCAUCUUUUGUUUGUUAAGUCCCUAUUGACCCACAGGGCAAACAGUGGUGUUUUACCAGGCCAACUAUUUUCAAAAUUUCACUAAACAGAACCCAACACCCAAAAUUAAUAGAGGGACGUUCUCCUCAUUAGCAUACAGACUGCUAAUUAUCUUUGCUGCCCCACCUCAACGACCACACCUCAAAUCCUGCAACCUGAAUGGUCGGAACAAUCAACCUGAAUUAUUGCAAGAAAAAUAAAAUAGUCUUUAUUAUUUGUUCUUUGUUCUUUUUGAGUUGAGUGACUCCUUCCAGAGAAAAUGGCCAAGCUGGCCAUAAUAAGUGGCACACAAACAAAUGUCGAGAGAAGUGAAUCAGAAGACAAAACAAGAAAAUUGUAUGUGAUUGCAAAUGAAACUAAAAGUAUGGUACAGAGGCCUUCAGAAUCUGAAACAGAGCUGGUAUAGCUCAAAGUACAGGAGAGGGAGGGGGAAGAGGUAGGGGGUCGGGCCUGAGAAGAGUCACCGGAGAAGGAGGGGGGCUCCAUGGGGCCUCUGCGUGAUGUGGAGAAGGAGCUCCAUCUCUAUGGCGGCGUCCCGUCCCAUGGAUGUGCGUGCCCCUCCUGUCGUCAUCGCCGUCCGUGCCAUGGCAAC